UUGUGAAAUUUCAACGCUCUCAGCGACGCAAUAUUUAUAUUGCGUAUUUUUUCUCAAGGUAGAAAAUAGUGUCUGUUAUUAGUAAAUAACAAUGAACAAAAAAAUUUUUGGUGCUUUAUUACGGAGUGAACAUGCAAAAGCAUUACUAGAAAGAAGAUACGCUUUGCCUCAAAUAUUUUGUAUUUCAAAGUAUAAUACUGAUAAAAAAAACAAAAGUGAUUAUGACGAUGAGCUUGACAAGCCCAUUAAGUUUUCAACAUCUAAAGCAGCAACAUGGCCUGCUGGAUUUUCGAGUGAUAAGCAUCUGGAUAGACCAACGUACCAGUCAGAAAUCAUAGCAUUAAGUCUAAUUGUUUUUUAUGUAUAUUUUACUAUGCUUAGAGAAGAAAACGAUAUCGAUGAGAAAAUGGUAGAAAAUAUACCUGUAGAAAUUCUGGAACAAGUAUAUGGAAAAAAUGCCACAAAAGCCAAAUAAACAUAGUUGUAAAUUAAUGUAGUUUAAUGUUGUUACCAAAAUAUUACACAAAAGUAUUUCUAUGAUUGUAACAGGAGGAUGACGCGUAAUUGUAUCUGGUAUACAUUUAUUCCAUGUGUCACACCAUGGUGCUACAACCAUUGUCAUUAUUAAUAUAAUUGGUCCUUCUGUACCAUGCGAGUGCACUUUAAUAUUUACAACACCUAAAGUUUGUAAAAAAAUUAACGCAUAAAAAAUUUACACAAUCGAUGCACUAAUAAACAAACCAUAUAAUAUUUCA